rnacentral:sRNA from 1 species
AAGCUUCGACUAAGGUUCGAUUCGAGCGAAAGCGAGAAAGCGUUGCCGCAGGCAACGACCCGAAGGGCGAAACGCGCAGCGCUGAGUCAUCCUUCCCCCACCACCA